GUCCUCGUGGAGCAAUGAAGCUCACUCCCGCCUACUGUACCGUAGGUGAUGCCAUUUCUGGGAGCGCCGGUGGUUCGAACCCACCCGAGGACA